UGGAGUGUCUCUCUUCGUUGGCGUCAUCCCGACUGAGAAGCAGAUAGAAGCAAUGGAGACUAUUUUGGUGGUGUUUAUUUUCGCAUCUUCUACCGCCUCCUGUGAAGGUCGAGGCCAGCAGGCUUGGACUGAGUGAUUGAAGUAGAUAAAGAGUUGAAAAGAGAGAGAGAGAGAGAGGGCUGGAACUAUCUCCUGCUCCGUCAUCCCAGUGUUCAGACUACCUGUUCAGGAUCAUACUGGUGUACAGUAGUCUGCACAUUGGUUAGACUGUGCAUGGACUCCCGGCGGUGAGGAACAAACUCUCAAACGCAAGCAAAAACACACACAACUGCAGGUGAAAAGACUCUGCUCGGUUUGGUUGGUUACUGUAUCGACACCAGUGAUGGUGAUUAUUGCAUGUGGAUUCAAAGUUGGCGGUAAUGGAUAAAAGGUUCCUGAUGAUUCAGAGCUUAGACAUUCAUCAUUACAUGAAGCUAAACCUAGCAUGAAAAUGAUAUUACAAGUAAAGCUCCCGUGUAUAUGUGAACAUGCAUGCACUCGAGUCACAUAUGGUUCAUAUAAAAGCUCCAGGUGUCCGGCUAGUUUUACGAUUUCAGUCUUGAGAUGGUCUGAAGGCCCUUCGAAGUGUCCAUUUAGCGAGAAUUACAGCACAUAUGCAUGCUAAGACACAGAUGAGAGGUGAAAAGAAAGUAAUUAGGUUGAAUCUUCACAGAAGUGGAGGGGUUCACAAGUCAUCUGUUUUCCUUCAUGCAGCUCAGCUCAGAAAGAGAGAGAGAGAGACUGAUGACUGCAGGAAUGUGUGUCUGUUUAGUGUUGGGUGCUGAUUAAACCAAACCAGCAGUCUCGGCCUAUGAACGCCAUAGAGACAGAUUUAGGGAACAUCUGAUGCCAGCUCUAGGAGGCUGGAUGGUGUUUGGAGAAAGUCUUACAAUUUUCCACCCAGGAAUGUGUAUGGCCCCAGUGAGACUGCCAACCACAGACACAGAAUCAAACUUGGAGAAAGUAAAGAAGGCAGACAGGGGAUGAGAUGGACAGAUGUAGUGUAACGUCAAAUACUGAAUGUAAACAUGAAUAAUUAUUGUGGAACUGAACAAUCCAGGCCAAAUUUAGAGGGAUCGUGCACACUUUCAUAUACGAAAGAAAGUUCAGAUAAUGGAUUUAGCAGAACAUGACAGGAAUCCUGCCAUAAUUGAAAAACAAAUGUAAAAUUUGAAAGCCAGUCGAUCAUUUUAACACAUAUUUCAAUAAUAAGUAACUUUUUAUUCUGUAACUUUAUACUAAUUCAACGUAACUUGAUAGAAAUUAACCUAAAUUCAUAGCUUUUACAUAUUUUGUGCUCUGAGAGUGCAUGAAUUUCAGAAAAAUAUACCCCGUGUUUAUACAAAUUCCUCUGUUUGAAGUGCGGCGUGAGUUUAGAGUUUCAGUAUUCAUUAAAAAUUAGUGUUUGCUUAUACAGUCACAUACAUUUGGCAGCCGGUGAGCAUAAGUGUGUCUGUGUCUGUGUGUGUUUAAGAUUCUCUGUAUAUCAAUAUCCAUGUGUGUCUGAGAGAGAGUGUGUGUUUGUGCGUUAGUUUGACUUGGGGCGCUUCCAGCUGUGUCAGGGUGAUCCAGACCAAAUGCCUUAAUUCCCAAUGGACGCAGAGAGACGGUGGGGGUAUGCUAAGAAAAGGGAGCAAGCAAAAUAGACGGGAAAAAAGCCGGGGGGAAAGAUGGAUUCGACAAAACUUGAAAUCAACGAGUGAAGGUUUGAUUUUUGAGUUACUGCACUGUAAAAAUGACCACAUUAAAUGACGACAACAAAUGCUUUUGUCACUUUCAUUUGGUAUCAGGUAAUCGACAAAUUUUUUCAGUUAUACAGAGUUAAACUUCAUCUUUUGAGUUAGUUUGACUUAAGUUGAGAUGACUAAAGUUCAGUUGAUUCAACUAAAAACGUUUGUCAGCAAUAUUUUUUACAGUUUACACUUAAUUGUACUUGUAAUUGUAACUUAUUAAACUAAGUUUAUCAUGUUCCCAAUUUAAUUUUAUGAGUUAUGCAAGAAGUUCAACAUAAAAUAAGUUAAAAUGACUCAUAAGGUUAAUUUGAUUCAGCUUAAAAAUUUAAAGCAACUAGUAUUUUUUACAGUGUACUGUCCUGGUUAAAAAAUAUCAAAAUUCUGACUGAAUUAUUGAUAUAUAUGCAACAAAAGAAGCAUGAAAAUGUGUAUUAAAUGUAAUGAUGUGAAUACAAAUGUUUACAACACAUGUGAAAGCUUUUGUGUUUAUAUUCUAGUAACAUUAUCUUUGUCCUCUCUCUCUUGCUCUUUGCUUCCGGCUUCCGGUCGGGAGGAGCAGGCUGUGCUGCCAUUGACUGAGAGCGUUGUCUGUCUGCCUGUCUACACUUGCUGUGCAGAACUUCCUGCACCUGUACAGCAGGCACAGACAGGCAGACAGAUGGCAGCCCGCCUGACAGGCCACACAGUGUGAGACCAGCCAUUGAGUACCUGCAAAAACUGUACUUUCACCAUAAAAAGCCAUUAAACGAAUGAAACAUCA